UGGGGAAUAUUGGACAAUGGGCGCAAGCCUGAUCCAGCAAUGCCGCGUGAGUGAAGAAGGUCUUCGGAUUGUAAAGCUCUUUCGACGGGGACGAUGAUGACGGUACCCGUAGAAGAAGCCCCGGCUAACUUCGUGCCAGCAGCCGCGGUAAUACGAAGGGGGCUAGCGUUGCUCGGAAUGACUGGGCGUAAAGGGCGCGUAGGCGGUGUACACAGUCAGGCGUGAAAUUCCCGGGCUCAACCUGGGGGCUGCGCUUGAUACAUGUACGCUUGAGUUCGGAAGAGGGUCGUGGAAUUCCCAGUGUAGAGGUGAAAUUCGUAGAUAUUGGGAAGAACACCGGUGGCGAAGGCGGCGACCUGGUCCGAUACUGACGCUGAGGCGCGAAAGCGUGGGGAGCAAACAG
rnacentral:rRNA from 1 species